AUACGUAGGGGGCGAGCGUUGUCCGGAAUGAUUGGGCGUAAAGGGCGCGUAGGCGGCCCGGUAAGUCUGGAGUGAAAGUCCUGUUUUUAAGAUGGGAAUUGCUUUGGAUACUGUCGGGCUUGAGUGCAGGAGGGGUAAGUGGAAUUCCCAGUGUAGCGGUGAAAUGCGUAGAGAUUGGGAGGAACACCAGUGGCGAAGGCGACUUACUGGACUGUAACUGACGCUGAGGCGCGAAAGUGUGGGGAGCAAACAGGAUUAGAUACCCUGGUAGUCCACACUGUAAACGAUGAGUGCUAGGUGUUGGGUAGCGAUAUUCAGUGCCGAAGUAAACACAAUAAGCACUCCGCCUGGGGAGUACGGUCGCAAGACUGAAACUCAAAGGAAUUGACGGGG
rnacentral:rRNA from 1 species